UGGUGGAGUGAUUUGUCUGGUUAAUUCCGUUAACGAACGAGACCCCCGCCUGCUAAAUAGUGUCGGUAAUGCUUCUGGAUUGCCGUUUCUACUUCUUAGAGGGACUUUCGGUGACUAACCGAAGGAAGUUGGGGGCGAAUAACA
rnacentral:rRNA from 1 species